rnacentral:rRNA from 1 species
CCUACGGGAUGCAGCAGUGAGGAAUAUUGGUCAAUGGACGAGAGUCUGAACCAGCCAAGUAGCGUGAAGGAUGACUGCCCUAUGGGUUGUAAACUUCUUUUAUAUGGGAAUAAAAUGUUCCACGUGUGGGAUUUUGUAUGUACCAUAUGAAUAAGGAUCGGCUAACUCCGUGCCAGCAGCCGCGGUAAUACGGAGGAUCCGAGCGUUAUCCGGAUUUAUUGGGGUUAAAGGGAGCGUAGGUGGAUUGUUAAGUCAGUUGUGAAAGUUUGCGGCUCAACCGUAAAAUUGCAGUUGAAACUGGCAGUCUUGAGUACAGUAGAGGUGGGCGGAAUUCGUGGUGUAGCGGUGAAAUGCUUAGAUAUCACGAAGAACUCCGAUUGCGAAGGCAGUUCACUGGACUGCAACUGACACUGAGGCUCGAAAGUGUGGGUAUCAAACAGGAUUAGAUACCCGAGUAGUC